rnacentral:misc_RNA from 1 species
UUUUUUUUUUUUAAUUAUUUUAUUUGAAUUUUUAAUACCUAGCCAUCUUUCAAGUUUGAUUAUGUUGGCACGAAACUUACAAUAUCAUUUUAAUGAAGAUAGAACAGACAAAAUUGGGUUCACGAAAAUUAUAAACUUUCUGUUGUAUGUUCCAAUGUCUUGAUAAGUGUUUCUGUUCCUGUAGUCUGCCAUCCAUAGUUGAUACUCCUCAUGAUUGCUCAUGUAAUCUUUUUGUUACUGGUAUUCCAGUCUCAAGAAAUGGCAUUGUUUGGAUUGUGCUUCAUUUCAUGUUUCUUGCUUGUGUUAUUCAGCCUCUUAUGUCAGCAGAUGCAACUACUGAACAGAGUUUAAACUGGGCCAGUUCGGCCCCUAAACCGGACCAGCACUGGCCCUGAACCGAAUGAUAGGGUGCUGGUCUCCUCCUAAGGCCCUGAUCCGGUACUGGAAACUGCUAGUUCCAGCUUGGUUCAAACUAG